CUACGGACGCUGCAGUGGGGAAUAUUGGACAAUGGGGGAAACCCUGAUCCAGCAAUGCCGCGUGUGUGAAGAAGGCCUGCGGGUUGUAAAGCACUUUCGGUUGGGAGGACUGCUUCUAGCACUAAUAUUGUUGGAAGUUGACGUUACCUUCAGAAGAAGCACCGGCUAACUCCGUGCCAGCAGGCCGCGGUAAUACGGAGGGUGCAAGCGUUAAUCGGAAUUACUGGGCGUAAAGCGCGCGUAGGCGGCUAGAUCAGUCGGGUGUGAAAGCCCCGGGCUUAACCUGGGAACUGCAUCCGAUACUGUCUAGCUUGAGUACAGGAGAGGAGAGUGGAAUUCCACAUGUAGCGGUGAAAUGCGUAGAUAUGUGGAGGAACACCAAUGGCGAAGGCAGCUCUCUGGCCUGAUACUGACGCUGAGGUGCGAAAGCGUGGGGAGCAAACAGGAUUAGAUACCCUUGUAGUC
rnacentral:rRNA from 1 species